rnacentral:lncRNA from 1 species
CUUUUAAUCUCUUUCAUUGACGCAGCAUGAUUCAAACACCAUUAAGAUUUUACAAACCAAAGCAUGAGUACCAACUGCAUAAACCUGUAAACUACAUAAUUGUGCUUUUACAAUGUUUUUACAUAAUAAAUCAAGACCUGUAAUUUGGAAAAAGAUUCGAACUUGAUUCUUGUGUUGAACUUGAGCCUUGAUUGUUGACUGUUGAAUGUUGAGUGUAUGGUUGCUGUGAUAGAGUCGAGUCAGGGGAGAAAGGGCAGGCGACGGUCAGCGGUGGCUUCGAGCUGCUGUCUGGCCGGAGCGCGUAGAGAGAGAGAGAGUGAAGCCGAGGGUGCGUGUGUUCUGUUGGCUG